AUCCAGUUGAGGAGUCCCAAAUAGGACGAAGACGCGCGUCCUGGAU
rfam:Schistosoma mattheei strain Denwood, Zambia genome assembly, scaffold: SMTD_contig0008361